AUCAGCUGGUGCAGGGUACGGUGGCCCAGCAGUCCAAAUCACAGAUCGUGACCAAGGAAGUAUGCGGGUUGGAAAAUGAGCAGACCCUUGGAGGUCUUGAUGUGUUAGCCAAUAUGGUUUCAACUGAUCUCCUGCUCCUGAGUAUCUGGGACUACAGGUGUGGACCACCAUGCUCAUUCUCUACGACUUCCAGUAUGAUGUUGACUAGGAAUGAUGAGAACAGACAUGUUUGCCUUUUUCUGGAUUUUGGUGAAGAAGCUUCCAGUUUCUUACAAACUAUGGAAGGAGACCUUCAAACCACAGUGGUUGUUCCUAUCCUUUGUGGCCCGAACAGUGGGAGCGGCAGCCCAGCAUUUGGUGGCCGGCUGAGCAUGCUAAAUUAUAGGAGAGAACUACUGGACUGGCACAGAGUACUUGAAUGCCUUCAGGC
ensembl:lncRNA